rnacentral:rRNA from 1 species
GAUAAACGCUGGCGGCGUGCUUAACACAUGCAAGUCGAACGAGGUUUUUCUUUCGGGAGGAACUUAGUGGCGGACGGGUGAGUAACGCGUGGGUAACCUGCCCUGUACAGGGGGACAACAGCUGGAAACGGCUGCUAAUACCGCAUAAGCCCUUAGCACUGCAUGGUGCACAGGGAAAAGGAGCAAUCCGGUACAGGAUGGACCCGCGUCUGAUUAGCCAGUUGGCAGGGUAACGGCCUACCAAAGCGACGAUCAGUAGCCGAUCUGAGAGGAUGUACGGCCACAUUGGGACUGAGACACGGCCCAGACUCCUACGGGAGGCAGCAGUGGGGAAUAUUGCACAAUGGAGGAAACUCUGAUGCAGCGACGCCGCGUGAGUGAAGAAGUAUUUCGGUAUGUAAAGCUCUAUCAGCAGGAAAGAAAAUGACGGUACCUGACUAAGAAGCACCGGCUAAAUACGUG